CAGCCAUUGAACAAAAGAGACCAACGACCCACCCCCUGACUUCGUCGUCUCCUUCACACCCCCCCCCUUCCAACGUCUUCUUCUUCAGCCAUUAGAGACACCAAACAAACAGUUGCUGUCGCUGGGCCUCUAUUCACCGCGAAGCUGCCAUCUCCGGUGAAGCUUCACCUCACAAACGACCAGCCAACAACAACAAAAUAGUUGCAUCAUUUCCCCUUCCAGUCCAGAUCAAGCACGUAUACAUAGGGAGGGAGCCGGAGCGAAAAUGAACUAAGUUUCUCAUCUCUAAUACACAUAGAGGAAACGGACGAACAGAAACAAUUGCGGGAUUCGCACUCCUUGCCAUGGGUCUAGCUUGUGCGUUCGCUAGUGGCUAGAUGGAGUUUUGUCUGAGUUGAGGUUGGUUUGAGUUCGUCGCUAUUCAUCGAGGUUCGAUUUGCGAUCGUUGUUUUCUGUUUCCGGUUUAAGGUCUGAGCUUCGAUUCUUUCAUUUACAUGUUUUGGUUCUGUUAUUUACGAUGCUUUGCUUAUGAAGUCUUUGCUAUUGUUAAUUGCUAUCUCCCUUUAAUUUCAUAUACAUGGUCUUGAUGACAUGAAUUUGGAGUUACUGGUAUGGAUACUUUGAAGAAGUAUGUUCUGUUUAGCUUCUUGUUAAGGUUUUCUCAUAAAUGUAUCUAAUGCAAUCUUGAUAGGCUUUGUUUACUGUUUCGUAAAUACUACAUUCAUCUUAAUUGUGGUGAGCUACUUUCAUUAGUCUGUUUAUUCACUCCAAUAUCCCGAGUUCUUUGUUUGAGUGUUGUAUUAGGGGUUGGGGAUCCUGCUGUGUAUAUUUAUGAGAUAGAUAGAUUUGGGUCUAGCUAAUGCGAAAUGGCAGAAAUGAGAAGUUCGGAAAAUUGAUAGAAUGUCAUGGUUGCCUGUUUUUAAAUUAAUUUCCUAAAAUUCGGGUGUGCAUUUCAUGUGAUCCUGCCAUAAUCUUGGAUAAUAAUAAUGAAAUAAGCAUGUUAAAAUCCGAGGGUGCAUUUCAUGUGACCUGGUUCUAAUUUACAACAAGGUUAAAUAGAGCGUGUCGUGAACCACGGGUGCAUUUCAUGUGGUGUGGCUUGCGAUAUGUUUUAAGUGACCUUGAAUUAAUUCUUUAAAUAACAAAAGCGGUUUUUCAAAAGUUAAAAAUGCACAUAGGUUUAAAAGUGUUUUAAAAUCAGAUAAUAGGCCAAUUAUAACAGUUGAGCGACCGUGCUAGAACCACGGAACUCGGGAAUGCCUAAUACCUUCUCCCGAGUUAACAGAAUUCCUUACCUGGAUUUCUGGUUCGCGGACUGUAAUACAGAGUCAAUCUUUUCCUCGACUCAGGAUUUGAACCUGUAACUUGGGACACCACAAAUCAUCCCAAGUGGCGACUCUGAAUCUUUUAAUAAAUAAAUCCCAUUUCGAUUGUCCUUUAAUUGGAAAAACUCCCCAUAUACACCUUUCCGGGGGUGUAGGUAAAAAUGAGGUGUGAUAGCUCUGACGACUCUGCUGGGGAUCGAACCCAGAAUCUCUAGUUCAAGGUUCAAGAAUUCGAGCUUAGAAUAAUUGUUAUAGUUGGCUUUAUCCAUCAUCUUAUUUUGUUACAUGAUUUAGGCCUAAUGUGCUAAUUGAUUGCUUUUACCGCUUUGAUAUUCCGUGAACUGUAUAUAAACUGUUGCAAAAUCCCUCUUCCCUCUGAGUCUUCUGAAUCAUGAAAACGUGUGCACUUCGUGUGACUUCUUUUCUGUUAGAGUUAUAUUCCAAAUUUAGAACGAGGUUCGGACAAGUUGCAAAGCCAGUGAAGCUUUUGUAUUCCCGGUACGCUGCCCCCCUUCGGCUCGAGCUAUCCGCUCGAGUAAGCCAGGUCUAGAACAAUAAACCCAGGUUUUGAACCUAGUACAACGAGACCUCAUGCCGGAUCCCUAGUAGGAACGUUUGCUUGCAUCAUGUGCAUUUAACUUUGGAGACUCAACACAGGGGUUGGGUCCGUCUAGGACAAGUAUACCCAAAAAAAUAAAAGAUCAUCCUGAUGCAUCUUAUGUGCUACAUGUUGCAUUUCUUCAAUGUAAAAAGGGUCAUUUGGCGGACCAAUGAUAGCUGAGGGUAAAUGAAGAAAUGAAAAAAAAAACAAUGAAAAAAGAAAGAAGAAAGAAAAAAAAAAAAGAAAAGAGAGGGUGAAGUAUGAAGAUAAAGCGAGUGAGACCUAAUUAUGUUUUCUGUUAUAUUUUGUUAAGAAAAAAAAGAGCUUGAAAUUGUACUUUUUCAUCAUUUUUCAAAAAUUAAAAAUNNNNNNNNNNAAAAUCAAAAGGGGGGGGGGGAAUUAAAAAAAAGAGUUUACAUGUUUUAUCAUUUUUCAAAAAAAAAAGAGAGAAAGAAAAGACAAAAAAAUAUAUUUUCUCUAAAUUAGUUGUUAUUUUUAUUUUUCGCCCGUAUCCAAUCUUUCCGAACUACGCAUACCUGAUUCUCAUCUUUCGGGGCGUGAUACGUAGACAACCCACAUAAGGUCCGGUCUUCCUAGUAAAUCUUAGGUUCUUGGCUUUGCGGGGUCUUAGCCAAAUUUUGCACUUCUAACCACCUUUUGGCCAAAUAAGUCACUUUGCAAAAAUAGCCUCAAUCAUGUCUUGCAUGUGUCUAGUAGAGAAUGUUAUUGUCUCACAUAGUGUUAGUUUAAGUUUUCUCAUACAGGUGUGGAUCCACUUACCGGAGUUUGAACAUGACAGAUACCCCAGGAC
rnacentral:lncRNA from 1 species